rnacentral:rRNA from 1 species
CCUACGGGCGGCAGCAGUAGGGAAUCUUCCACAAUGGGCGAAAGCCUGAUGGAGCAACGCCGCGUGGAUGAAGAAGGUCUUCGGAUCGUAAAACCCUGUUGUUAGAGAAGAAAGUGCGUGAGAGUAACUGUUCACGUUUCGACGGUAUCUAACCAGAAAGCCACGGCUUACUACGUGCCAGCAGCCGCGGUAAUACGUAGGUGGCAAGCGUUAUCCGGUUAUAUUGUGCGGAAAGGGAACGCGGGCGUUCUUUUAAGUCUGAUGGGAAAGUUUUCGUCUUAACCGGCGUAGUGCAUUGGAGACUGGGAGACUUGAGUGCAGAAGAGGAGAGUGGAA